rnacentral:lncRNA from 1 species
UCUUUUUUUUUUUUUUUUUAAUACUUGGUCGGGUCUAAAUAAGAUAAAAUUCCCUCACCAUAAACAAAUUUGUGUUUCUAUGACCCACCAAAAAAAUAUAUAUAUCAUCCCAACACUUUCAUAUUGGCUUCACAUUACCAAACAUUCAAAUGCCAAUUAUAAAGGGUUUAAUCUUUUAUCUUGAUCCAAUUUGUUUGUAUUAUCAUCAUCCAAUCGUCGUAGAUUUCAUUAUAUAUAUUCAAUGAUUGGGACGAGAAGUUUAUAGUGGCCCAAUACCUUAAUAUUUUCUCUUUUAUUAAUACUCUUUAUAAAACUAAUUACAAUUCCAAAUUUGUGUUAUAUCCCAUGAUCUAAAAAUACAAUCAAAGCUAAACUACAUCCGCAUACCCCUUUUUCCCUUCCAUGCCAUCUACCUAAAAAUUUCCCUUUCCAUAUCAGUUGUCACAAUCUAAAAACAGAAUUAAAACUAACAGCUCCUACACCAUAUCCAUGAAGCCUUUUUCCCUUCUGUGCCCUUUACCUAAAAAUCAAACACCCACCUCAUCGUUCCUCAAAUUUAAGAUCCAUCUCAUAUUUACACAACCAAGGGCCUGGCAUCCUAUGGGCUCAUAGCCGAGACCCACUGGACCCCAUAAGGCCAACACCAGACCCUUCAUUUAAGGGGUGGAUUAGUUAGCCGUUGCCCAAUUAACAUUAUCAUAAUGGCAAAAAACCAAACUCAUUUGCGCCACAUUACAAGUAAGCGACAGGUACGCUCACGCGGCCGUGUCCUAAAAAAUUGCGACCCUUCCCCUCGGCCUUUCUCUCAGUUCCACACCCCAAAAAAAAAAAAAAAUUGUUUCUCAGCCAAAGAAACAGUGGCUCGCACGUAAUCAUUCUUUUUUCUUUUUUUCUUUUUUAUUUUUAUUACACCACCAUUUGAAUUUUGAAUGUUCUUGGUCACAUAAGUGCCAAGAACAUUCUCUUCUGUGUUAAUCAUAAUUCUCUCUCUUUUUUUUCUUCUCUCUUUAAUUAACCUGGGUUUGGGUGACCAGGUAUGGUGACUCAAGGAAUUUGAUCGUCAUCAUUACCAUCUUCUUUGUGAAGAGGUCCUUACUCCUUAUAAAAGUUGGGCUCGGUGACCAGCUAUGGCUUCUGGGUCAUGCUUGCCAUUGCUCUUUCGCAGAAAGACAAUGACCUUCGAGGUACGUUCUUAAAUUGGCAUCCUUCAUAUUCUUUUUCUUCCUUGGUUAUAUUGCCCGUCUUGAUAAUUUUGUGAUGUAGUUUGUUUGAGAAACUCGUUCAGUUUUUUAAAAUUUUCUUGUUUAAUCUAUGAUGAUAUUUUUUUUCCUUGAGUUAUUCAAUGAUUUUCUGCUUUCAAUUCCUCCGGAUUCAUUGAUUUGAUGUAGUUCUCAAAACUUUUUCCUGAACUCUGAAAACAUGCAAGGAUUUCUAAAGCUGCAUUUUGUUGAUAAUUGUAAUUGUUACAAUUGUUUAUGAGUAAGAUUUUGUAGAAAUGAAGAUAAUUCAAAGUGAUUUAAAUUUCAAAAGAAUGGAGCUAGCUCUCUGCAAAUCAAAACGAUUUGCCGUCUCGUAAGUGUGUGUCAUAUCUUUGUAAACUCUAUUCAUAUGAAUCCUUUUAGGCCCUCUGAUCAAUUGAACAAACACAAAUUACCCAUGCAGGCAACCAAAGUCUCUAACAUAUCCAAAAAUCAAAAGCCAGCACAGAGCUUGAAGACAGAGAUGUCAUAUGGAAAAACCGGCAACUUCAUUUUGAUCAUGGAGCUCCGGAAGAAGAUCAUGACCUUCCGAGACCUCAUUGACCUACCUCCAUGUGAUGGCUCUGCUUCCAUUGAUGAGGUGGUCUUCUUCUUCUUCUUUUUUUUUUUUUGCCAGAAACUCAUAGGAAGUCAGAAAAGGCCCCUUCUCUUCAGUUUCAUCAUUCAUGAUUCUUGAAUUUUCAUGCCCUUUAUAUUCUUCCAGCUUGUGAUAUGGACAACCGAGGAGCUUCAUAAGAUGUACCCUGAAGUUGUACCUGGUAUUCCAGUCUCGGCAACCAUGGGAAUAGCAUCCAUGGAUCAGGUUCGACACUCAGUUGCCUGAGUUUUAUCCUUGGAAAAAGCAAUUAAUGGAUGUGUUCUCCAUAAUUCAACAACUGGACCAUAAGACUAAUCAGCACAUGUCCAAACAGGGGCUUGUCUACCUUUGCAGGGCUUUGAAAUCUGUUGGAGACUUGUGGAUGAAGAACACAGAGUGGAUGGGCAAUAUCAAAUAUGAUGCUCAUGGAAAUUUAGAGCAACUGGGUAUGUCAAUUCUUUCUCCAGGAUCUGGUUGCAACUCGCAAUUUUCUUCCCUUACUUUACUCUUUAGUUAGUUUCUUGGUUGAACCCGGAGUAUUUAUUGUGUUGGAAUAGGGUUAGCACUACUUGAUUGCAUGAUUAAGGUUGCAAAAGACAAAUUUGAUAUGAUGGAAGAGGAAGAUGCGGGGAAAGAUAAUAGUCCAGGACCAGAGACAAGUACCUUUAUGAGAUCGUAUUCGUUCAAUAAAACUGCCUCUCCAUGCCUUUCUCCAGUUACUCCAACUUCAGUCCUUCCAGAGCUUACCAACUAUCCUUCCAAAGUUGGAGACUUUGCAUAUGCUUCUUCUUCCCCACCCUUUCUCUGGCCUCUGAGAAUGCAAGCUGUGGGGAAAUUGAAUCCCAUUGAUGUAAAACACCUCUCUUUUCACAUGUUCCCUCGUGUGAUACCCCAAGAUUCCACCUCUAAUUUUACCCAAAAGAAGAGCACAGUUAAGGAACCAGAGCAAGAGAUGGAAGCAAAGAGCGAUUCUGAAAUGACAGUAGCAGGUGCCUUUGAGGAAGCAAAAGAUGACAAAAGUAUUGAGGAAACACCAGAUGUUGUGGUGGCUGAUUUGAACGAUAUGAGCAGCAACGAAGGGGGAGAUAACAAAAUCAGUGAAGCUGAAAACCUGAGUAUAUCCCCAAUGCCGUCUUCUGCGUCGUUUGAAAGAGAAGACAGGGAGGUGUUCGGACCACCACCAGCUCCACCAUCACCACCAGCACCACCCCAGCUCUCUUUAAAUGCAGAAAGAGUGUCACUACCACCACCCAUGUUGCAGCCAAAAAUAGCAGCACCUCCGCCGCAGCCACCACCACCACCACCACAACCACUACCUUUGGUGACUUCAAGAGUAUCAGUGCCACCACCCCCACUACCACCAAUGCCACUUACUAAUGAAGUUGCUCCACCUUCACUGCCACCUUUGAUGCCUUCAAAAGGAUCAGUGCCAUCACCACCAGCACCACCAAUUCCACUUACAACUGGGGCUGCUCCACCACCACCACCACCUCCACCUAUGCCUCUUUCAAAUGGAGCUGCUCCGCCAUCACCGCCACCCAUGCCUCUUUCAAGUGGAGCUGCUCCCCCGCCACCACCUUUCAUGCCUUUAAAAGGAACAGGGCCAUUACCACCCCCACCACCCAUGCUACUUACAAAAGGAGGUGCUCCUCCACCUCCUCCGCCAGGUGGGGCCAAAAACCUACGUCCUAGGAAAGCAGCUACUAAAUUAAAGAGAUCAACUCAAAUGGGUAAUUUAUAUCGGGUUCUCAAGGGUAAGGUGGAAGGAUCAAGCCUACAAGGUCAAUCAUCAAAUGGGAGAAAAGGCCUGGCUGGGAGCUCAGCUGGUGGAAAACAGGGAAUGGCUGAUGCACUAGCAGAGAUGACAAAGAGGUUGCUUUUCAUCAAACCUAUAAAGAGGAAUGAACCUGUUUGGAUUAUGUUGGAUUUCAAAAGAAUUAGAAAAAAAAUAUUAAUGACUUCUCUGUUUCCCUUUCUCUUUCAAAUGUCUAGGUCUGCCUACUUCCAACAAAUUGAAGAAGAUGUUCAAAAACACGCAAAAUCAAUCAUGGAGCUGAAAGCUGCAAUUGGUUCUUUCCAAACAAAGGACAUGAAUGAGAUGCUUAAGUUCCACAAACAUGUGGAAUCCUGUCUUGAGGAGCUCACUGAUGAAAGCCAGGUCAACAAAUAUGAGUUUGUCCAGAUUUAAUUCUACUAUUAUCUACCCUUGUCAGCUUGCAUCUUUUCACUUCACGACAAUUAUCCCCAUGAUUCUCUAAUGUACAGGUGCUAGCAAGGUUUGAAGGUUUCCCCACAAAGAAGCUAGAAGCAUUAAGGAUGGCAGCAGCAUUAUACUUGAAACUAGAUGCAAUAGUUGCUAACCUGCAAAAUUGGAAGCCAGUGGCUCCCUUGGGCCAACUCCUUGACAAGGCUGAGCAUUACUUCAGUAAGGUAACUUUAAGGAUCACAGUUUCCAUAAACUCCUUUGUGAGACUCCCAUUACCUCUACCUCUUCAUCAAUCACUAACCAAAAACAAUUACAUGAUAUAGAUCAAAGGAGAGAUCGAUGCACUGGAACGAACCAAAGAUGAAGAAUCCAAGAAAUUUCAAAGUCAUAACAUCCAUUUUGACUUCGGUAUCCUUGUCCGUAUUAAGGAAUCAGCAGUCGAUGUUUCCUCAAGUUGCAUGGAGUUUGCACUUAAGGUAAGCUGAUGAACAAAACUCACAGGGUCAUUUUGAAGGCUUGAUUAAUUGACUUAUAUAGUUUUUUUGUCUGAUCUUGCAGGAGAGGAGAGAAGCAAAGGCGAUGGAGAACCAAGGCAGUUCUGGGUCGAAAACCGAAGGACCAACAAAGGGAUGUGGCAAAAUGCUUUGGAGGGCUUUUCAGUUUGCAUUCCGGGUGUACACCUUUGCUGGUGGACAUGAUGAUCGUGCAGAGGAGCUAACUAGAGAAUUGGCUCAAGAAAUAGAAUCUGAUCCUCGGCAUGUAUGACAAACAUUUCAUCACAAAAUAUAGUACUAUAUAUUCAAAUAUAAUUUGAAAACAAAAAUAAAUAAAUAAAUCAUGAGGCAAUCGAUCAUAUUAAAGCGUUUUCUGUUAAGGAUCUGGUCUGAGUUAUGGUAUGAACAAUCUAGGUUUCAGUUUUACUUUAAGAGCAUCAACACCAAAACUCUUGGAGAAUAUUAAGAGAAACUAUAGCUCUACUACUCUUGUGUGUAACAUCAAUUCUUGUGUUCUAUUGAAGCUACUGGUUUUCCGGGUUUUACAUAUUUUCUCUGCUUAUCUAAUGGGCCUAGUUUGUAGAAGACAUUCAAGUUUUUAGCGUAAAAAUCUUAUUAUAUGGAUUGAUAAUGACGAUCUGUCAUCAAGAAGCAGGGUGUCUAGUUGGGAUGGUGGUUCCCAUGCUGAGAUUGUCUUCCUGGUGCAUGCUUAGAGAAAGACACCCUGAAACUUUUGAAAAUUGCCAAUUUUUAAAAAUAAUGUAAAAGGGCAGAUUUGGGUUAUACACCUAAACAAAAUUGGGACAAGAUACUGGUAUGAAUAUAACUAUAUAAGCCAAUGAUUCAGAAAAGUCCUGCCGAAUCUAAACCAUAUAUUUGACAAGUCAGGGAUUCCAAUAUUUUCGUUAAGAAAGUCAGCAAAGUCAUUAAAAACAAAAAACAAAAAAAAAAUGAAAUAAAAUAAAAAUCACCCAAAUUGACUUGAGCAAUUUGGACCAAGUUUUGAUUGAAUUGAACAAGCCUCUGAAUUUUCCAGAAUUCAUAACUUAACCAACAAGCAAAAGCUAGAAGCAAAGAGCAAUUACGAGGAAGGGGCAGGUAGCAGACAAUUAAAGGGACGAAACUUACUGACCAAGAAUGCCUCAUAUGUAAUUAGCAGUAGCACCAUCGCGGCCGCAAUCGCCCCCAGCCAAGUUGCGGCCGGAGAUGGCAGCAUCUUCCCUAGCAUCGUCGCCCAUAUUGGCAUCAAAUAUAGCAGUGCCACCACCACCGCCACCCCCGCCUCCACCACCUUUACCUAUGAUGCCUUCUAAAGGAUCAGUGCCUGCGCCACCACCAACCAAGCCACUCAAAAAUGGAGCUGCUCCACCCCCACCACCACCACCACCUUUGCCUAUGAUGCCUUUAAAAGGAUCAGUGCCUCCACCACCACCACCCAAAAAUGGAGCUGCUCCACCACCACCACCUUUACCUAUGAUGCCCUUAAAAGGAUCAGUGCCUGCGCCGCCCCCACCCGUGCCACUCAAAAAUGGAGCUGCUCCACCACUACCGCCACCUCUAUUUGGUGCAGCAAAAAACUUAGGUCCGAAAAGACCAACUACCAGAUUAAAGAGAUCGGCCCAGAUGGGUAAUUUAUAUCGAGUUCUCAAGAAAAAGAUGGAAGGAACAAAUCAAGAAGGACCGAUUCCAGAAGGUAGAUCAUCUCAAGCGAGAAGAGGCCUGACUGGGAAUUCUAAUGGUGGAAAGCAAGGAAUGGCUGAUACCAUAGCAGAGAUAACAAAAAAGUACUACUUUUCAUUGAACUCUCAAGUCACAACAGGUCAUACACAUGGGGGAAAAAUGACCCCUUUGUUGCUGUUUCCCUUUUUUCAGGUCUUCAUACUUUCAACAAAUUGAAAAAGACGUAAAAAAACAUGCAAAAUCAAUAAUGGAGGUGAAAGGUGCCAUUACUAAUUUCCAGACCAAGGACAUGACUGAGCUGCUUAAGUUCCACAAAUACGUCGAAUCCCAUCUUGAGGACCUCAUUGAUGAAGGCCAGGUGAACUGAUACGAGCUUGUCCAAGUUAAUUCUAUUGUUCAUUACCAUAAGCAUCCUUUCUUUCCCUUGACGAUGAUGAUUGAAGACACAAUUCUUCUUCAAGGUACAGGUGUUAGCAAGGUUUGAAGGUUUCCCCACAAAGAAGUUGGAAACACUAAGGACAGCCGCAGCACUAUACUUGAAAUUAGAUGCUAUAGUGACCAACCUGAAAAUUUGGAAGGUAGUGGCUCCUUUGGGCCAACUCCUUGAUAGGAUUGAGCAUUACUUCAAUAAGGUAUACAUACUGUUAUAUUCUAUUCUCAACAUGUCUUAAAUUUCUUAGAAACGGGCUUAUUUUUCAUGGAUCGAUCCAUCACAAACGAAAAACAAUUGCAUGACAUAGAUCAAAGGAGAAGUGGAAGCAUUCGAACGAACCAAAGACGAAGAAGCCAAGAAAUUCCAGACUCAUAGUAUCAAUUUCGACUUCAAUAUCAUUAUUAGAAUCAAGGAAUCAAUGGUGGAUGUUUCCUCAAGUUGCAUGGAGUUGGCACUACAGGUAGUUCAAGCAAUAACUCUGUUGCUUAAAAAAUCUAUAUAUGAACAACCCAAGGAUCAUUUUGCAGGAGUCAUUGAUUAUUGUUGUUGAAGCAGGAGAGAAGACAAAUGAAAGCAGUAGAGAAUAAAGAGACUCCUGGUUCCAAAACUGAAAGACCAACCAAGGAUUGUACUACUAAACUGCUUUGGAAGAGUUUCCAUUUUGCUUUCCGGGUAUAUACUUUUGCUGGUGGACAGGAUGAUCGUGCGGAGCAGCUAACAAGAGAAUUGGCCCUCCAAAUAGAGUCUAAUCUUCAACAUCAAUAACCAAAUUUUCCCUAUAGAGAAACUAUCGGAUUGCAGAACAGAAAUAGAACACCAUGUAUAUAUUGAACAUAUAAUUUAGAAAACUAAAGGCAUUUUUAUUACAACUAAGAAUUUUCUGCAAUUAAGGGCAUUUUUACCCCUAUAUGUUAUUCACCUUUUAAACUCGUACUUGUAUUUAGCACACCUUGUACUCUUCACCAAUUUUUUUUGUCAGAUUAUUUAAAUAUUAGAAUUGUAUUUAUAAUUUCUUUUAUCAAAUUAAUUUUUAAUUUAAAACUUAUAUUUCAUAGAAUAUUUAAAAUUUUAUUUUUAUUAGAUUUUUAGAUAUGUUCAUAGUUUUUUACAAAUUUUAAAAUUAAAAAAAAAAUUGAAGCUUGAAUGUGAUUAAAAAUAAAGUUAUAAAUAUAGUGAUAAAAUCAUAAAAACUUGGAUCAAAAUAGCCCGUUGGAAAGCCCAUUAGGUAUUAGGGUAUGUGUUUGUCUUGCUUUUAAUUUAAAAUUUGGACUUUUUUAAAAAAAAAAAUAUUGAUCAAGGGCAUUUUUGAUAAUUAUUUUAAAAAUAAUUCUGAAAAAAAAAGUUUUUGAAUGUUUUGUAACCUUAAAUAUUUUUUAUAUUUAUUAUUAUAUUUUUAAUUAUUUUAGUAUAAUUAUUUUUUUAAAAACAAUUCUUCAAAUCAAAUUGAAAUAUGUGAAAACAAUUAAAAGAUGUUCUUUUGAAAUACUAAAAAAAUACUUUCUUUUUUUUCAUAAGAAUAAAACAAAAAAUAAUUUUUUAUUAUCAAACAUAUUUUUUUGAUAUUUUGUUUUAGAAAACAAAAAAUUAUUUUAAAAAACAUUUAUCAAAACAGCCCUAAAUAUGCUAUAGCUCAUCUAAGCUUCCUUGCUUAUAUUAACUUUUCGUUAAAUAUGUACUAAAAAAUUGUUCCAUAAAUAAAAUAAUUUAUUCAUCAAAUAGGAAAUUUACCCUUUAAUACACACAACAAAAUAAUAAUAAUAAUAAAGGCAGACCUCUGGUUACAACCCGGAUGAUAGAGACCAUCUAGACAAUAGGGUUUGAUUUUGUGGCCACCUUAGCCAUGAAGCAAGGAUCGUGACUUGGUCAGAAAAAAUGUUCGACUUUUGGGCAUGAUGUAAAGACGCGAUUUGAAUUUUACACGCAAACAACGUAGGCUAACUGUUCAUCGUUUGACAAAAUUAAAAAUUUAAUAAAAAUCAAGUGUGAAACUCGAAAAAAUUUCACAUUCGACAAAAAUUGAAAAUUCAACUGGACAAAACGUGAGGACCACUGGCGCUACUAACCAUAACUUAAAUAAUUAAUUUAUUCGUCCUGUUGCCAAAUAUUUAAUCUAAUUAUCCAUUCGACUGGCAUCAUGGCAUGCACCAUUGUGGGACUUAGAAUAUUUGAUGCUCGUUUUCCAAGAAGCCGGUUGAUAUUUAUAUAUAUGUAUUAAUUAAACAGCUUAAUCCAUGAUCAAACCAGGCGAUUGACCUUCGCCUAUCAAAUAUUUGUGAGUCACUUUAUAAGUUUAUACCUUUCAUUAAUUUCUUCAGAUUUCAUAUGUAGUUGGUGAUUCGGUCGGUUACUGGUUACCACCGAACACGCUUUCAAAUUCUACGGGUCAUAUUAUAAAAAGACUCAUUAAAAAAAUACAAAAUAUGUGAGAAUACUGUCAGCACUUUUGAUAAAUGCCCAUCUCAAAUCUUCCAAUCUUAAUUACAAUUAAAAUAUAAAUUUAAUUUGUAACCUCCACGUGACAAAAACCAUUAUAAUAUCUAUUAAUUUUCUAACUAAUCUUCUGGAUAAGAGUAAUUAAUGAGGCGCUGAGACCAACCCCCUUGACUUUGUCUCCUUAAUGGUGUGAUCACAGAUCUCUAUGAAGCAAUGGAUCAGUAAUGGCGCCAUGCCAGAGGCAACCUCACGAAUAGAGAAAAACGAUAAGGAAAGUGAGAGAAAGGGGAAAGCAAUUUUCUCAGCGACUGUUCUUGAGUGAAAUGAAAGCAAUUAACCAAAGUCAUUAAAAUUACCAUCGUUAUGAUAGAAAUGUUGAAUGAUACCUAGCAACAUUCCACGGAUCAUGCAUUAUUCAUAAAGCUAAAAGCUGCUUCAUGAUUGAGUGUUACCAGAUAUUGAAGUGAUUCAGAAGUAAUCGAGCGGUCCGACCAUAAAAAGUUAUUGUAAGUCCUUUAAAUAAAUGGUCAUCUGAAUGCAAUCUUUAAUAAAGUGGGUACACUUUAAUUAUAUAUGGUUUUAUGGUUGUUGAAAAUUUGACAGUGACAAACAAUCAAACCAUCCUGAAAUAUUUUUUGUAAGUAUUUUCUCCAAAAAGUUGGCAAAAUACUUGAAUACUUUCAAGUAUUGAUAGUAUGUUUUAAAUUUUCUCAGAGUCGCUGAAUUACCAGAGAGAGUGAAUACACAAAGUGCAGAAUCAUGGCUAUCGAAUUAAGCAUACUAAUGUUCCAUACAUAACGUUGAAUUUAUUCAUUCCCCAUUACAUCAUGUCCCAGUGGAUCAAAGAAAUCCAUAGUUCAAAUCCAAAAAUGGGGUAUUACAGACAUUCCAAUCACAUAAAGGGAGGAAGUGUCGACGAAAUUCGAUUUGAUGCACACACAAAAAGAGCUGGAAAUCAUUGCAAUCCUGGAUGGAAAUCAGGGCGCCAUUAUUCUGAUGAAGAGUAGUGAGGUGAUCAAGAGGCAAGCUCAAUUUCAAUUCCGCCAAUGGUGAUAACAUCGGCCCCAUAACGAGGGACCAAAGUCACCACCACACUGUCAUCAUCUUCGGCUUCCAAAUCCUCCAACAAUUCACUAAUCCCUAUCCUGAGGAUCGUGUUCUUCUUUUUCCCAUGGGAGUGUUGGUGUGGCACGUUCACAAAGCUUCCGGCAAACUCCGUGUUGUCAGGCCUGCUGACUGGAUCGUCUUCGUCGUUGAUGAAUAUGUCAAACUUCACGAACUUAUCCCUUUCUAGCUCUAUUCCUUUGAUCACCAGCACUUCUUCUUCAUCCUCCUUCUCCUUCUUACUCCUUGAUUUCCUUGGCCUUGGAACAUCAACUCUCAACGUUGAGUCCAAUUUUAUGGGGAAGACGAUGCUGCUGCUACUUGGAAUUUCGGCUGCAUUCGCUACUCCAGACUUGUGCUUCAAUUUAUUGACGACCUUCUUCAAUAUUUGACGGGGCUUUGGACGGGAUUUCAGCCAUGGAAUAUCAACCUCCUGAUAGGCAUACCUGANNNNNNNNNNNNNNNNNNNNNNNNNNNNNNNNNNNNNNNNNNNNNNNNNNNNNNNNNNNNNNNNNNNNNNNNNNNNNNNNNNNNNNNNNNNNNNNNNNNNAUAAAGGCAGACCUCUGGUUACAACCCGGAUGAUAGAGACCAUCUAGACAAUAGGGUUUGAUUUUGUGGCCACCUUAGCCAUGAAGCAAGGAUCGUGACUUGGUCAGAAAAAAUGUUCGACUUUUGGGCACGAUGUAAAGACGCGAUUUGAUUUUACACGCAAACAACGUAGGCUAACUGUUCAUCGUUUGACAAAAUUAAAAUUUUAAUAAAAAUCAAGUGUGAAACUCGAAAAAAUUUCACAUUCGACAAAAAUUGAAAAUUCAACUGGACAAAACGUGAGGACCACUGGCGCUACUAACCAUAACUUAAAUAAUUAAUUUAUUCGUCCUGUUGCCAAAUAUUUAAUCUAAUUAUCCAUUCGACUGGCAUCAUGGCAUGCACCAUUGUGGAACUUAGAAUAUAUGAUGUUCGUUUUGAGUCACUUUCUAAGUUUAUACCUUUCAUUAAUUUCUUCAGAUUUCAUAUGUAGUUGGUGAUUCGGUCGGUUACUGGUUAGUGGUUACCACCGAACACGCUUUCAAAUUCUACGGGUCAUAUUAUAAAAAGACUCAUUAAAAAAAUACAAAAUAUGUGAGAAUACUGUCAGCACUUUUGAUAAAUGCCCAUCUCAAAUCUUCCAAUCUUAAUUACAAUUAAAAUAUAAAUUUAAUUUGUAACCUCCACGUGACAAAAACCAUUAUAAUAUCUAUUAAUUUUCUAACUAAUCUUCUGGAUAAGAGUAAUUAAUGAGGCGCUGAGACCAACCCCCUUGACUUUGUCUCGUUAAUGGUGUGAUCACAGAUCUCUAUGAAGCAAUGGAUCAGUAAUGGCGCCAUGCCAGAGGCAACCUCACGAAUAGAGAAAAAAGAUAAGGAAAGCGAGAGAAAGGGGAAAGCAAUUUUCUCAGCGACUGUUCUUGAGUGAAAUGAAAGCAAUUAACCAAAGUCAUUAAAAUUACCAUCGUUAUGAUAGAAAUGUUGAAUGAUACCUAGCAACAUUCCACGGAUCAUGCAUUAUUCAUAAAGCUAAAAGCUGCUUCAUGAUUGAAUGUUACCAGAUAUUGAAGUGAUUCAGAAGUAAUCGAGCGGUCCGACCAUAAAAAGUUAGUGUAAGUCCUUUAAAUAAAUGGUCAUCUGAAUGCAAUCUUUAAUAAAGUGGGUACACUUUAAUUAUAUAUGGUUUUAUGGUUGUUGAAAAUUUGACAGUGACAAACAAUCAAACCAUCCUGAAAUAUUUUUUGUAAGUAUUUUCUCCAAAAAGUUGGCAAAAUACUUGAAUACUUUCAAGUAUUGAUAGUAUGUUUUAAAUUUUCUCAGAGUCGCUGAAUUACCAGAGAGAGUGAAUACACAAAGUGAAGAAUCAUGGCUAUCGAAUUAAGCAUACUAAUGUUCCAUACAUAACGUAGAAUUUAUUCAUUCCCCAUUACAUCAUGUCCCAGUGGAUCAAAGAAAUCCAUAGUUCAAAUCCAAAAAUGGGGUAUUACAGACAUUCCAAUCACAUAAAGGGAGGAAGUGUCGACGAAAUUCGAUUUGAUGCACACACAAAAAGAGCUGGAAAUCAUUGCAAUCCUGGAUGGAAAUCAGGGCGCCAUUAUUCUGAUGAAGAGUAGUGAGGUGAUCAAGAGGCAAGCUCAAUUUCAAUUCCGCCAAUGGUGAUAACAUCGGCCCCAUAACGAGGGACCAAAGUCACCACCACACUGUCAUCAUCUUCGGCUUCCAAAUCCUCCAACAAUUCACUAAUCCCUAUCCUGAGGAUCGUGUUCUUCUUUUUCCCAUGGGAGUGUUGGUGUGGCACGUUCACAAAGCUUCCGGCAAACUCCGUGUUGUCAGGCCUGCUGACUGGAUCGUCUUCGUCGUUGAUGAAUAUGUCAAACUUCACGAACUUAUCCCUUUCUAGCUCUAUUNNNNNNNN